GCGGUCGUAGUCUAGUCUGGUUAGGACACUGGCCUCCCAAGCCAGCAACCCGGGUUCAAAUCCCGGCGACCGCA
rnacentral:tRNA from 1 species